CCUACGGGGGGCAGCAGUGGGGAAUAUUGCGCAAUGGGCGAAAGCCUGACGCAGCGACGCCGCGUGAGGGAUGAAGGUCUUCGGAUCGUAAACCUCUGUCAGCAGGGAAGAACGGUCACUGUGCUAAUCAGCAGUGAAUUGACGGUACCUGCAAAGGAAGCACCGGCUAACUCCGUGCCAGCAGCCGCGGUAAUACGGAGGGUGCGAGCGUUAAUCGGAAUUACUGGGCGUAAAGCGCUCGUAGGCGGUAUGUCAAGUCAAGGGUGAAAUCCCCGCGCUCAACGUGGGAACUGCCUUUGAUACUGGCAAACUGGAGUGUGUGAGAGGAUAGUGGAAUUCCAGGUGUAGGAGUGAAAUGCGUAGAUAUCUGGAGGAACAUCAGUGGCGAAGGCGACUAUCUGGCACAUAACUGACGCUGAGGAGCGAAAGCGUGGGUAGCAAACAGGAUUAGAUACCCUGGUAGUC
rnacentral:rRNA from 1 species